GAUGAACGCUGGCGGCGUGCCUAAUACAUGCAAGUCGAGCGAACAGACGAGGAGCUUGCUCCUCUGACGUUAGCGGCGGACGGGUGAGUAACACGUGGAUAACCUACCUAUAAGACUGGGAUAACUUCGGGAAACCGGAGCUAAUACCGGAUAAUAUAUUGAACCGCAUGGUUCAAUAGUGAAAGACGGUUUUGCUGUCACUUAUAGAUGGAUCCGCGCCGCAUUAGCUAGUUGGUAAGGUAACGGCUUACCAAGGCAACGAUGCGUAGCCGACCUGAGAGGGGGAUCGGCCACACGGGAACUGAGACACGGUCCAGACCCCUACGGGGGGCAGCAGGAGGGAAUCUUCCGCAAGGGGGGAAAGCCUGACGGAGCAACGCCGGGGGGGUGAUGAAGGUCUUCGGAUCGUAAAACUCUUUUAUUAGGGAAGAAAAAAUGUGUAAGUAACUAUGCACGUCUUGACGGUACCAAAUCAGAAAGCCAGGGCUAACUACGG
rnacentral:rRNA from 1 species